UACGUAGGGGGCGAGCGUUGUCCGAAGUUACUGGGCGUAAAGCGCGCGUAGGCGGUCUUUUAAGUCUGGUGUGAAAGGUUCAGGGCUCAACCCGAACAGUGCACUGGAUACUGGGAGACUUGAGUAUGGGAGAGGAGAGCGGAAUUCCUGGUGUAGCGGUGAAAUGCGCAGAUAUCAGGAGGAACACCGAUGGCGAAGGCAGGUCUCUGGGCCACUACUGACGCUGAGAAGCGAAAGCGUGGGGAGCGAACAGG
rnacentral:rRNA from 1 species